UACGUAGGGUGCGAGCGUUGUCCGGAAUUACUGGGCGUAAAGAGCUCGUAGGUGGUUUGUCGCGUUGUUCGUGAAAACUCACAGCUUAACUGUGGGCGUGCGGGCGAUACGGGCAGACUGGAGUACUGCAGGGGAGACUGGAAUUCCUGGUGUAGCGGUGGAAUGCGUAGAGAUCCGGAAGAACACCGGUGGCGAAGGCGGUGAGCUGGGCAGUUGCUGGACACUG
rnacentral:rRNA from 1 species